CGAGUUGGCACCAGGGCGGGUUGCAAGAAUGAACUUUUCCUUGUAAUUUAUGGUCCCCUAGGACCCAGCAGUGAGAGGCCAGC
rnacentral:lncRNA from 1 species